UACGUAGGGACCAAGCGUUGUUCGGAUUUACUGGGCGUAAAGGGCGCGUAGGCGGUCGUGACAAGUCACUUGUGAAAUCUCCGGGCUUAACUCGGAACGGUCAAGUGAUACUGUCGGACUAGAGUACAGAAGGGGCAACUGGAAUUCUCGGUGUAGCGGUGAAAUGCGUAGAUAUCAGGAGGAACACCGGUGGCGAAGGCGGGUCUCUGGGCCGAUACUGACGCUGGAGGAGCGAAAGCCGUGGGGAGC
rnacentral:rRNA from 1 species